AUUGAACGCUGGCGGCAUGCUUUACACAUGCAAGUCGAACGGCAGCGCGGGCUUCGGCCUGGCGGCGAGUGGCGAACGGGUGAGUAAUGCAUCGGAACGUGCCCAGUAGUGGGGGAUAGCCCGGCGAAAGCCGGAUUAAUACCGCAUACGACCUGAGGGUGAAAGCGGGGGACCGAAAGGCCUCGCGCGAUUGGAGCGGCCGAUGUCGGAUUAGCUAGUUGGUGGGGUAAAGGCUUACCAAGGCGACGAUCCGUAGCUGGUCUGAGAGGACGACCGGCCGCACUGGGACUGAGACACGGCCCAGACUCCUACGGGAGGCAGCAGUGGGGAAUUUUGGACAAUGGGGGCAAACCUGAUCCAGCCAUGCCGCGUGCGGGAAGAAGGCCUUCGGGUUGUAAACCGCUUUUGUUCGGGAAGAAAUCCUCUGGGCUAAUACCCCGGGGGGAUGACGGUACCGGAAGAAUAAGCACCGGCUAACUACGUG
rnacentral:rRNA from 1 species